AAAAGCAGCAGGUCAAGUUCAAGAUUUUUCAAUGCCAGUGGGUUAGAAAACAAAACCAAGAAUAAUAGUGUGUUGUCUACGAAUAACCGCUUGAAGGCAUUUACAGAAAUUAGGUUGGGUUGGAGUGGCGGUCUUGUACACCAAAUCCUAAUUGAGCUAUAUGUUGUGAUACCACGGAUUGGCAUUGUUCAUACGUUGACCAGAAGGACGCCCGAAAGGACCGCGUGCUUGGAGGCGCUACUUUUUCAUUCGAAUGCUCCUUCACAGCCCGACAGUUCUUUGAUUAAAAUUAGAUUGUUGAUGCAAAGCUGUAUAGAAUUAUCUCAUUAAAAUUACAUUACUAGUGCGGUGCGUUUUCUGGAGUGACUGUAGCUAUACUCGUAUGCCGGAUGCAGUAGUUAUCAACGACAAGGACCGAUUAGAAAUUCCGUCGCUUUUACAUCGUUUAGAAAAAAAAAAAUUAAACAAGCUUUGCUUAGAACGGGGGAAAUAGUCCAUUUAAUCCAUUUAAGUUUUAAGAAUUUUUUUUCAUAAUAAUUAUUAUAACAAAUUGUUAAGCAUGACUUCAAUAUAGAUACG